GGAUGUGAGGGUGAUCUGGCUGCAACAUCUGUCACCCCAUUGGUCACCAGGGUUAAUUUGCCUGAUCUGGCUGGCUAGGCGGGUGUCCCCUCCCUCCCUCACCACUCCAUGUGCGUCCUUCCUGAAGCUGCGUGCUCGGUGGAAGAGGACGAUGUCCCAGGUAUAGAAGGAGUGUACCGAGGUCUCCAGUCUUCGGUCUCGGGUAUGCGAUAACUGCACUCCCCUGCUAGAACCUCCAUUAGUCAGUUAUUUAAUUAAAUAGGCCUGCUCUCAUAGACCUGCCCAUUG
rfam:Anolis carolinensis chromosome 2, whole genome shotgun sequence.